GGAGGGGUAAAUAAGGCAACUGUUCCAAGUUUUAUUGUAAAACCAACUACUAAGAUCUGUAGGCCAGAUUCCUUGAAACAUGACAGGCAAGCUGAUUCACUGAGAAUUAUACAACUAAAUCAAGAGCUAUCUUCUCAGUUCAUUGGAGUGCAUCUGUUCCCUGAGGAUGCUAAUAUCAAACACUGUUUUAUGGAUGGGACCAGGCUGUAAAAAUAGCACAGAUUGCUGUGAGUGCCAGAACUGAGAGAAAACAAUUUGGGGAGUGGAGGAAAAUAUUAUUUCUUUGCAUCUGCUGCAGAUAUUUGGGGAAUACUUCCUUUAAACUCUCAAUCUUUCUUCUUUUAAAGCAGCAUGUUGAGACAAUAACCAGCAAAGCUGUAAAGAAAUGACUGUUCCAUUUCUCCUGCCACUCCAGGCAAAUGUGAAAUGUUCUUAACAAUACUACUGCUUUCUAUAAGAGCUCUUGGAAAGCUUAUGGAACUGAUUAUUUCCUGAGAAGAGAAGAAAAGAAAGGCAACAGUGGGCAAAGGCAAUGGAUAACCAUCUGUAAACAGCCAUGCAUGAAUUACAUCUUCAAGAACAAAUGUUAUCACCAAGUCUGUUCCGAGUAUGAUGAUAUCUGCACCUAUAGAAGCUUCCAUGUCAGUACGUUGCAUUAUCCUGAAUAGUUCCUUUCUGGACUGAAACCAAAAACAGGCCAAUUCACCACUUAUCUAAAAUGGAAGCCUCCGACUGCUACUAGUAUACACCCAUUUCAACUAGUACAACUUAUCCAAAUAUUUUAAAAAUACCUACCAGGGUGGGCAUGACCAGGUGAUCUGUGCACUGUCUGCUGUCCAGGUGCUCACUACAGCUAAGCAAUUUUAAGGACACAGCACUCCUUUUUAUGUAUAUUUCUUCAACGGCAGAAUUAUUUUCCCAUUUCUAAAUAUUUUCCUUAAAAAGAAUUUUCUUUUUAUUUUGAACUGAGGUAUAUUAUAAUUCACAUCAGUUCCUGCCCAUCUGGACUCUGUUUUGGUUGCAGGAAUUCAAUGCAAUGGUUAAAAUUGCAAAUCUCAAAGGGAGUCCUCAUUUUCAUCAAAAGGGGAGGGGCUUGCAUCCUUGCAGAAGUUGUUGGAUUACCGCUCCCAUCUCAUCUAACCAUCAUAGUCAGUGGUGAGAGAUGAUGUCCACCUAUAUCUGGAUAGUCACCAGUUUCCCAUUCUUGAUCUAGAGCACAGGUGAGAACAGCAGAUAGACCAGGGGCCAUUUCCCUUCAAGACAUCCAAGAGUUAUAUCCCCCCCCCCAAAAAAAAACAAGCCCAAAUUCUUCCAUUUCCUCUGUGUGCCUCUUCAAAGAGGAAGGGAUGUCCCAUCAUUUCUUGUCACCAAUUUGAGAUAGAACAAAAAGGAAAACAGAGGUAGAGUAGUUGUGCUUGUGAGGAUAGGCUGGAGUUUUUGUGUCUUUGGGGAAAAGGUUAGGGCCGUAUUUUAAAAAUUGGUUGAUAGGGACUUUAGGAACUGGUGUGGGGUCAAGGUAGGUCACAAGGGUGGCAUCCCAAGACUCUAUGCAACUCGCUUGCUCAACUUCGCCCAUCUUGAAUUUAGACAAUCUCUGUACAGAUGUCCACUAGGCAUCCAGGAGCAUGAGAGACAUCCCAAGACACUUAUUAGUGGCUCAUGUCUUCCAUGUCAGUAGGUCAGUAAAUACAUUCUUGCUUUUUCAUCUGAACAUUAAAGGAGAUAUUCAAGGUGCUGAACCAUAUCCCUAAAAUAGACUACAUAAGAAACAUCACAGCAGGGUAAGUGUGAGUAUGUUUUUCUAUUGGGAACAGAAUUAGAUCUUUUCAGACCAGAGAAAUAAAAGAAAUAACAGCUUGUAUAGAAGGCUUGUUUAUUAAGACAGAAUUGUCUGUCUUUGCAAGGUUUCAUUAACCUUGCUGCAGUUCAGUCUCCUGAACAUUUGUUCUCCGUGUUUUCUAAAAUCUCAGUUCUUGACGAAAAUCUAUUCCUGCUGGGAUUGAAACUGCUAUUUCUCAGUUUCCAACUAUUUUGAGUUAGAAGUGGUUUAGCUUACCUCUGGGAAAGGGCUACAAAAACAAUUAUACAAAUAUUGCUUAAACUUUGUUGCACCUUCCAUGCGCAAGCUUUUUCUUGCUUUUCUACCAAAUGAGUUUCACAAUGAAAAAUGCUGUCUGGAACAAUGGACUGUUAAAAGAGGGAAAAGGACAAAGAUGAAAACAUGUUUUGCUCUUCUUUUUUUAACUAGCUGCAAGUCAUCUCAGCACCCAAGUGUUCGAAGUCAAGCAAUAAAAUGUGUGUGCAAAAAUGCCUAUCCUCAUGUUCUGAAAAAUUGAAGGAGGAAUUGCAUGUCCUAGGUAUAAAAGGAACUCCUGUGAGUGCUUCUGUUCAGGAAAGCUCUUUAUGUGAAGGACUAAUUUGGGUUAGAUAAUUUCUGGUAAGAAUAUUGUGUAAUGGGGAAAUAAGGUAGAAGGUGUCAAGUGGGAGACAACUGCAGUAGAAAAUUACUAUGUGCUGCUGUAUAUUUUUGGCAAAUUACUUUUACAGAACUACAAUUCAAAGAAUCUACCUCCACCCAGCCAACAUGGCUACAAUAGUCCAAAAAAAUCACCUAUCCAAGUUCUAUACUAAAGACUUAAGAGUUCCUCUGCAAUUACUUGCCUGGUCUAAAGCAUCUUCUUCCAUAGUUAAAGGUAAAGGUUUCCCCUGACAUUAAGUUUAGUCGUGUUGGUGCUCAUCUCCAUUUCUAAGCCAAAGAGCGGCCGUUGUCAGUAGACACCUUCAAUGUCAUGUGGCCGGUAUGACUGCAUGGAGUGCCGUUACCUUCUCGCUGGAGCGGUACCUAUUGAUCUACUCAC